rnacentral:pre_miRNA from 1 species
AAAGACUCAAUUUUUUGAUUUCCGUGUCAAACGUUUGAUCGUUCGUUUUAUAUGAAUUUUUUUAUGAUUAGUAAUUUUAUUGUUGUUAGAUGAUAAAAUAUACUUUAUGCAUGACUUAUCUUUUUAAAUAUUUUUAUAUUAUCUUUUUAAAUAUUUUUAUAAUUUUUUUAAAUAAUAUGGACGGUCAAACGUUAUAUACGGAAACAGGCUGUGUUUAGU